rnacentral:rRNA from 1 species
AUGAAGGCGCGGGAGCGCGACACCGCCGAGGCGGACGCGCUGCGGGCGGAGCUACUCAAGGCCAAGGCCGUGCUCGCCGAGACCAAGGCGGGCGCGGGGAUUGUGGCGGCGGCGGCGCGUGGGCUCCGGGAGGAGUUGGAUAAGAAAGUUACAAACCUAGAGAAACGAUUUACUCUUCCAGGGAGGGCCGCUGGGGCCCGUCUGCGCGGCACUCCCUCGCCGUCAGUCUAG